rnacentral:lncRNA from 1 species
CUCAACUCCUCCGAAGCUUCUUUAAAUCUUUAUAGGUGCAUGGCGGUAUGCACCUAUGUGCUUUCUCUCCAAAUUUGGAGUGAUACCAACACAGUCCGGACUUUGACUGUGUGGUACGUGAUGAUGAACGGCUGCGACUCCGCGAUCUUGAAAAUCGCUUGCCAUCGCGUCCAUUCUUUUGGUGAGGGUUUCUAUUUGUUUAGAAAAUCCCUCAAUUGAGGCUGAAGAAGUUUGUGAGGAGACACAAGCAGACCGUGACGGUUGUUGCACGGCAAAUUCAACCAUUUUAUCUACCAUAGUUGCUAUCUGGUCCACGGUAUUGGACUCUAAAGCGGUUGCCAAAACAGUUUGUAUAUAUGCGGGCAACCUUCUAUAACAGCUUGAUGCGACCAACCUUCUGUUAGGAAAUGAUUUAUGUAUAAAAGAACUUUCCAUGAGGGUAACCGACUCUGCUCCAGAAAGGUGUUCUUAAAGAUGGAAACUGAAAAACCACAUUCUGUCUCCUACGACGAGCCAUCUUCCUACAAAGAAAUAUAUUUGUUCCAUUUCGCAGAACACACGGUGAAUUGCAUGUUGGGAUUCCGUCUCAUUAUGAAACAAAAAUCUCUUGAAAUACUUUGGAGAGGUUUUAGAAAAUUUUUUCCAGAGAUACUUCUGGAACCCCCCGACCGCAUUUGGAAAGAGGGUUUUAAGUGUGUGGUGGUGCUGCGUUUGUGUGACGUUUCUUCCAGCAAUUUGUAGGAUAUUUACAUCCUCCAUUUCAAAACAUAUGGCCGAUGCUACCCAUUGUGUGUUGGGCAAUUCACAUUUCUUGGGAUUACCCCUGGACUCAACAUGGAGUUUCUCAACAAAGAUUUUCUAGCAAUUGAAAAUGUUGGUCAAUCUUCUUGUGUUGUAUCCUUUGAAACAUAUUUCCAUUCUCCCUGAAUUCCCAUUUCGCAGAACACCCGGUGAAUUGCAUGUUGGGCAAUUCACAUUUCUUGGGAUUACCCCAUGUUCGCGAAAAAAUUCUAAUGCCGAGUCAUCUUUAUAUUGAAAUCUAGAAACCCCUUCAUAUAACGUUAAUUCAUACGCAAUGCACGCUGUCAUGACGCAGAUUUAAGUGAUCGAAGCCAUGCAUCCUGUGGUGUGGGUAACAAUGCAAGCUUUGAUCUUUUUCGCUGCGACUCUUUUGCGGCAGAUUUGCAAUCCCUUUUGAGGUGUGCUUCACUGCCGCAUAUGUAGCAGCGUGGUCCUCUGCCCUCGACGACCACAUACAACUUGUGGUCCUCUGAUAUAUAUAUCCGAGUGGGUAUUUUCUUUAUGUCCUCUUGGUUUAUAUGUAGUAAAAAUUCUACUUUUUUUCCCACCCAGUUUUUGUGCUCCGUGACCGUAGUUUCUAAAACUGUGAAAUCUUCCAUUUUCACACAUAGGGCCUUUACUAGCCAUAGAUUGUUGGCUUGGAGAGUGUAGUUGAACUGUCGACUAACCUCCGACGUCUGACAUCUACCAAUAAAUCAAAGUUAUUUAGAAAAUCCGUACCUAAAAUAGGAUGCGGAAUGUCAGCAAUGACAAAAACCCACUGAAAGUCUCGACGAAGAUUUAUGUCAAGGCGUAACGAGAUCUGACCGAAUGUGGCUAUUGGUGACGAGUCAAUAGCGUGCAAGGUAACAUUAGAUCGUUUUGGCGUGUCGCUUGUGAGACGCAGAGGCCAAAUGCUGCAGCAAGAACUAGUGUCCACCAUGAAGUAUUUCUUCGACACUAGAUCCUUAACGAAAAAUGCACGAUAACUAGAAAAUGAUGUGGAGGAGGUUGACAUGCUCAACUCCUCCGAAGCUAGUUUAAAUCUUUAUAGGUGCAUGGCUGUAUGCACCUAUGUGCUUUCUCUCCAAAUUUGGAGUGAUACCAACACAGUCCGGACUUUGACUGUGUGGUACGUGAUGAUGAACGGCUGCGACUCCGCGAUCUUGAAAAUCGCUUGCCAUCGCGACACAUCACGUCCAUCUUUUUGGUGAGACUUAAUAUUUGUUUAGAAAGUCCCUCAAUUGAGGCUGAAGAAGUUUGCGAGCAGACACGAGCAGACCGUGACGGUGGUUGAACGGCAAAUUCAACCAUUUUAUUUGCCAUAGUUGCUAUCUGGUCCACGGAAUUGGACUCUAAAGCGGUUGCCAAAACAGUUUGUAUAUAUGCGGGCAACCUUCUAUAACAGCUUGAUGCGACCAACCUUCUGUUAGGAAAUGAUUUAUGUAUAAAAGAACUUUCCAUGAGGGUAACCGACUCCGCUCCACAAAGGUGUUCUUAAAGAUGGAAACUGAAAAACCACAUUCUGUCUCCUACGACGAACCAUCUUCCUACAACGAAAUAUAUUUGUUCCAUUUCGCAGAACACACGGUGAAUUGCAUGUUGGGAUUCCGUCUCAUUAUGAAACAAAAAUCUCUUGAAAUAUUUUGGAGAGGUUUUAGAAAAUUUUUUCCAGAGAUACUUCUGGAACCCCCCGACCGCAUUUGGAAAGAGGGUUUUAAGUGUGUGGUGGUACUGCGUUUGUGUGACGUUUCUUUCAGCAAUUUGUAGGAUAUUUACAUCCUCCAUUUCAAAACAUAUGGCCGAUGCUACCCAUUGUGUGUUGGGCAAUUCACAUUUCUUGGGAUUACCCCUGGACUCAGCAUGGAGUUUCUCAACAAAGAUUUUCUAGCAAUUGAAAAUGUUGGUCAAUCUUCUUGUGUUGUAUCCUUUGGAACAUAUUUCCAUUCUCCCUGAAUUCCCAUUUCGCAGAACACCCGGUGAAUUGCAUGUUGGGCAAUUCACAUUUCUUGGGAUUACCCCAUGUUCGCGAAAAAAUUCUAAUGCCGAGUCAUCUUUAUAUUGAAAUCUAGAAACCCCUUCAUAUAACGUUAAUUCAUACGCAAUGCACGCUGUCAUGACGCAGGUCUAAGUGAUCGAAGCCGUGCAUCCUGUGGUGUGGGUAACAAUGCAAGCUUUGUUCUUUUUCUCUGCGACUCUUUUGCGGCAGAUUUGCAACCCCUUUUAAGGUGUGCUUCACUGCCGCAUAUGUAGCAGCGUGGUCCUCUGCCCUCGACGACCACGUACAACUUGUGGUCCUCUGAUAUAUAUAUCCGAGUGGGUAUUUUCUUUAUGUCCUCUUGGUUUAUAUGUAGUAGAAAUUCUACUUUUUUUCCCACCCAGUUUUUGUGCUCUGUGACCGUAGUUUCUAAAACUGUGAAAUCUUCCAUUUUCACACAUAGGGCCUUUACUAGCCAUAGAUUGUUGGCUUGGAGAGUGGAGUUGAACUGUCGACUAACCUCCGACGUCUGACAUCUACCAAUAAAUCAAAGUUAUUUAGAAAAUCCGCACCUAAAAUAGGAUGCGGAAUGUCAGCAAUGACAAAAACCCACUGAAAAUCUCAACGAAGAUUUAUGUCAAGGCGUAACGAGAUCUGACCGAAUGUGGCUAUUGGUGACGAGUCAAUAGCGUGCAAGGUAACGUUAGAUCGUUUUGGCUUGUCGGUUGUGAGACGCAGAGGCCAAAUGCUGCAGCAAGAACCAGUGUCCACCAUGAAGUAUUUCUUCGACACUAGAUCCUUAACGAAAAAUGCACGAUAACUAGAAAAUGAUGUGGAGGAGGUUGACGUGCUCAACUCCUCCGAAGCUAGUUUAAAUCUUUAUAGGUGCAUGACUGUAUGCACCUAUGUGCUUUCUCUCCAAAUUUGGAGUGAUACCAACACAGUCCGGACUUUGACUGUGUGGUACGUGAUGAUGAACGGCUGCAACUCCGCGAUCUUGAAAAUCGCUUGCCAUCGCGUCCAUCCUUUUGGUGAGGGUUUCUAUUUGUUUAGAAAGUCCCUCAAUUGAGGC